CAGUAGCCGCGGUAAUACGAAGGGUGCAAGCGUUAAUUGGAAUUACUGGGCGUAAAGCGCGCGUAGGUGGUUCAUUAAGUUGGAUGUGAAAGCCCUGGGCUCAACCUGGGAACUGCAUCCAAAACUGGCAGGCUAGAGUAGGGCAGAGGGUGGUGGAAUUUCCUGUGUAGCGGUGAAAUGCGUAGAUAUAGGAAGGAACACCAGUGGCGAAGGCGACCACCUGGACUGAUACUGACACUGAGGUGCGAAAGCGUGGGGAGCAAACAGGAUUAGAUACCCCUGUAGUCCCUGUCUCUUAUAC
rnacentral:rRNA from 1 species